rnacentral:lncRNA from 10 species
CUGCAGACUAUGGCACUAUUCUCUGGUUUCUUAUGGUACUGAGUAAAGAUGCUAGUGGAUCUGUCUUCCAUGACUGAUUUCCUAUUCAGUCUUACCUUGUUCCCUGUUGUUAGUCUUGAGAAUAUGAAACCGUCCUACAUUGCUUUGCCCACUGUCUAAUGAGGCAAGCAUAGACAGCACUCCCAGGGUAGUCAAUCGGUAUGCUUAUCAGCGGUCAUUGAUGUUUCUUCUUUGGAAAAUUUGAAUCAAGCAAUACAAAGACUCAGAGAAUGGACAACUGAGUCGGAUAAGUGGUAGGACACCAGAGUAAGUAUGCAUGUAUGUGUAUUGUUAAGCUUCCUGAAACUAUCUUCUUCAUUCCUGCUUUUCCUGGAACCUGUACAGCUUACUCUUCCAUGAGAUCUUUAUCCUUUUACUUAACCUAACUUGAGUAGAUUCUAUUCGUUAGAAUCUAAUGAUUACUAAGAGCAUGUGAGUGUCCAGUUCUUGGUCAUAAGUGGGUCUAUUGGCUUGUGUCUUCCAGGAUUUCAGAUAAGAUGUGUUCCCCAGGUCAGCAGUCCUUCAUGCCACUUGUCAUAAGGAGAAGAGAAUAUGGAGAGAGCAGCAUAGAUGCAAAUCAGCCUUUACUCGUUGGAAGAUCAUUGCUGGCAGGAACCUAAAAGAAACAGAGCCAACAGGCAGGGAGAUCAGUUAAAAAAAAAAACAAAACUGAGUUUCUAUUAGCUGUUGCAAACAUAUAUGCAAGGUCUCCAGGAUAACAGCUGGUAUCUUGAGAAAUUGAAUUUUCCAGUGCCAGAUUGUUUCAUGGAAAUGACUCGUUUCUUUCCUGAUUUCAUCUUCCUUGUGGAUACAAAAGGGGCAGCCAAGAUCAGGGAAGGUUUACAGCAAGGCUCUGCAACACCUGGAAAAGCAUCCACCCACAUUUGGAGCUCCUGUGUUCGAAUAAUCUUACACUAAAAUGUCAAUAUGUUAUCAAUUAAUAUUCAUGUAUUACAUUUCAAUCGUAGUAUAUUGUAUGCACUAAUAUAUGUCCUCCUCCUCCUAAUUAGUAUUAUUUUUAGCUCCUGUUCAAAUAAGGAACUUGAAUGAGUCCUAACUCGUGUCGUGGACUGGCUGGGUGAUAAAAGAGUUUUCAAACAACAUUCUAACCCUGACCUAGUCAAGAUUAGAGUUGCUCUGUCUUUCCCUAUGGAAAGGAAAAGCCAUGGAGGGACAAUGAAAAUGAAUGCAAGAGAAAUAAAGAAGCAUGACUCACAGAGUCGUGGGAUAGGGGAAUAGUAUUCACACAGGACCUACAGUGGAUUGAGAAGUAGGACAAACUUGUAAUGAGUGGCCAUCCUUAAUCACCUCUGGUGGUGCCUUUUACCUACAUAGAAUCCAUGGCCCAUUUGUCUAACUAUCUUGUGCUCUAUUGGCUGCUAAUUACUUCUGCUUUGACAUUUGUUAAUGAAAGCCCAGGAUAUUUCCUAGCAAAUUGCAGGUUCUAGAAAAUAGAAAAUUCUCAAGACACAGAGGAAUGGCUUCCAAAUGUCAUAUUUUUGCAGGUUGGAAGAACAGAUAUUGGGAUUCAGAUGGACAUUUAGAGACUCUCUUAAUCACUGCCUAGGCCCUGUCUCUGUUCGCUUAUGCAAUCUGGUUCAGUCUUGCACCACAUAUUUUAUAAUCCAGAAAUCCCUAGGUAGCCUUAUCCAGCC